UACGGAAGGGGCGAGCGUUGUUCGGAAUCAUUGGGCGUAAAGGGCGCGUAGGUGGUUCUGUAUGUCUACCGUGAAAGCGUACGGCUCAACCGUAUUUUGUCGGUAGAAACUGCAGGACUUGAGGCUGGGAGGGGCUGGUGGAAUUCCCUGUGUAGCGGUGAAAUGUGUAGAGAUCGGGAGGAACACCGGUGGCGAAGGCGGGUCUCUGGGCAACUCCUGACGCUGAGGCGCGAAAGCGUGGGGAGCAAACGGG
rnacentral:rRNA from 1 species